rnacentral:lncRNA from 1 species
UUGAAUGGCACUUGGGCAGCAUUUCAUUACUCAAAAUAGUCUUCCAAAUACAUGAGCCAAGCCCUCUUAUUUAUAGUGUUUAGAAGGCUGGAAAUUAAAAAGAAAGUGGAGGGAAAUUCAAAUGAAAAGCAUUUGAAUUUGGAGCCAAUUCCUAACAAGGAAAGUGUGACUUGGUUUCAUUUUUUUGGCACCUCCUAAAUCUACACCUACACCUUCUUUUUAUGUCACAUGGAAGGUGUGGCUUAGCUUUAUACAUUUGCACCUCUUAUAUUUAUAUCUACACCUCCCUUUAUGUUCUACUAAAAAUACUCAAAAGUAAUUACAAAAGAAACACAUCCAAUGAUGCUUAGUUGGCCAAUAUCUUCUAUUUGUUGGGCUUGAGCUGAAGCUUGAACUUGUAUUUGGGCUUGGGCUUGAGCUUUUUCUAUCAUGGGCUUGGGCCUCUUCCAUCAUCCCCUCCCUCUUGAAAAGGAUUUGUCCUCAAAUCCAAUGCUUCUUCUUCAUCAUCAUUAUGAGGAUGUAUGUGGUUGGAUGGUUUCCAUCAUCCCCUCCUUCUUGAGAGAAUCUGUCCUCAGAUCUACAGGUUUGAUCUCGAACAACAGCCUUAUUCUUAUUUUGAAAACUAGGCUCGUCCUCCAGGAUCAAAUGUCCAUCUAUGGGAAUCCUGAAACAAAGCAAAGGAGUUAGUGUGAGCAAUUGGAGAAAACUUAAUUGUAUAAAGUUGCCAUUUUUGUUUUUCUUUUGUUUUUUGCAACUUUUCACAAUAUUUCCUUUUUGAUGGUUGUAUGUAUCCUCUAAUCCUCUUAUGUUUUAUAAAAUUUCCAAUAGUAGUUACUUUUCCCUUAGGCAUAAUUCCUUUAGGAGGUGGUAACAACUUUAAAAGGGAAAGAGGACUAUGUUCACAUACAACUUCAAAUGUAGAAAUAUGAGUAAUCUUGUGGACUACUCCAUUGUAUGCAUGCUCAAUAGGAAAAGGAUACUCAUCCCAAGAAUUGUGGUUGUCUCUCAUGAUUUCUCGAAGCAUAGUAGAAAGAGCUAUGUUUUCAAUUUUAUUUUGACCAUUCUUUUGAGGAUGAUAAAAAUUGAAGAGAACAAUUUAGCUGCAAGUUUUCCGACGAGAAUCCUCAAAUCAUGGUUUGCGAAAUUUGGAGCUCUAUCCAACACUAUGCUUGAGGAUAAACCAUGAAGAUGUAUCACUUCUCUAGAGAAGAGUUUAUCCAUAUCCAUGAAAAUGGAAUCAAAAACCUUUUGUUGUCCUAGGAAGCUCUAAUAUGAAAUUUAGGCUUGUGUCUUCCCAAGGAACAUUUGCAAAAGGUGAAGGAGUAUAGAGUUCAUGAGACAUUGCCUUAGGUGUAGUUUUAAAACAAGAAAUGCAUCUAGGGUAAUGUCUUUGAACCUCCUUUCUCAUGGGUGACAAAAGUUUUCCUUUUAAAAGCUCUAGAGUUUUAUCAACUCUAAUUUAGCCCAUGAGUUCUUCUUCAUGAAAGAAUUUUUUUCUUAUGUGUAAAGGUAGUCCUGUUGUUACAACCAUUGUUUAUGAGAAUUUGUACAUUUUGCGAUGGUUGUCUCAAUAAGACAUGACAAGUUUCUUUAGGCACUAGCUCACAUAAAAAUUUGUCUUUGUAGAUGCCUAUAGAUAACUUGUCCUUCACUUUGUGAUAUCUUAGCACAUAUGAGAAAUAAUCUACUUCAUCUUUAUCUAUGCAAGCCUCUUUCAAGGAUUCUUCUUUUUUGACUAGGCUUGCAAGUGUUCCUUUACAAAAGGUAAGGCUAGGUUGUUCAACAAGAAGCAUAUUUUCAAAGGUAUUUUCAACUUUUACUUCUUGUUGAAUGACCUUGUGGGAAGGCACACUCUUUUCCCAGGCCUUUUGUUCUUCAAGGGUUUUCUCUUGAUUUUCUAUUUUUAAUAUGCUUGUAAGGGGUGUUAUAAGAUAUUCCUCAUUCUUUCUAGAUUCACACCACCCCUCACUUGGUUUUCCUUUUUCUUUUUCUUUAGCUUCCCUUUCGUGUUCCUCUCUUUUCUUUUGUAUCUUUCUUUCCUUCUUUUCUUUAUGGGAAGCAAACAAUUUUUCUACCCUCAUUUCCCAAUCUAAGCAAGCUUCUACAUUUUCUUUUCCAUGGAAAUGGGAUAGGUCUACCCUAGCCUCUCUUAGGCUUUCUUGUUCUCUUCUAUCUCUUCUAUAUCUUCUAGGGGGUGCUUGAUAAUAAUCUUUUAUUCUAAGGCUUCCCUCCCCAAAAGAAUCAUGAUCUUUAGAGAUAGAUGCAUGAGAGGUUAAUUUUUUGAAAUUUGAGACUUCUCAUCCUUUGCUUUAGUCAAUUCAUUAGUUUUGGUCUCAUUCUCCAAUUGUUUAGAUGAAAUUGAUUGAAUAUCCUUGGAAAGUUGUUUUAAAAGAGAUUUCAAGGAUUUCACAUCACUUUUAAGAGAUUUAGAGGAGUGAGAAGACAUGACUAAAACUUUGUGUUUAGAAAUGUUUUACUUUAAGAAAGAUGAGGGAAGUUAAUGAAGGUAGUUUUCCAGGUAAGAGAGGUGAGUCACAAUGGACUACUUAAAUACCAAGUCUUUGCCUUAGCCAAAAACUAUCCCUCAAGAUCUUCACACAAAUCUUUCUUUAGGUAAAUCACUUAAAACACAAUGAGGAUGUAGAAAUCAAAUUUUUAAUGCAUAAAACAAUGCAAGCUAUCUAGCAAAUUAUCAAAGCUUUAAACUAGACAAAAACAAAAGCAAUUAAGCGUAGCUAACUAAAGGCAAUUGGCGAAAUUAAAGCAAUUAACAAAUGCUAAGCUAGAAAGUUUAAGCUAGUCGGCCCUAGGUGAGGCUUCUUGGACACUUGGAGCCCUUGAAGACACACUGAUGGAGAUCAAGAUCAAGAAGAAAUAGAAGCCAAUAAUCAAGGACAAUAAGAAGUAGAGGCCCAAGUUGUAGACGCUCAAGAAGUCAUUAGCCCACCUCAUAGGCUUACAAGGAGCAAGUUCAAGGAAUUAGGAAAUAGUGGAAGGUUGUUUUCUCUUUUUAUAAUAUCUUGUGUUUUAAAAGGUUCUUAGAGGGAAACAUUAGACACCUCUUUUGUAAAAGCAUCUUUAGGCUUUAGUUUAGAAAAUUCUAGAAACUUGGGGAGUGAGCUUAGUAAGGGUGUGAGUGUAGGAGUCUUUUGGGUAGCUUAUAGAAUAAGCUUUGUAAAUGACCGGCCCUUGCUCCUAUAAAAGGAGGGCUUAGGUCCUUCAUAAUUCAGAUUUGAUAAUUGAAGUAGCAAAACUCUCCCAAAUUGGUGAUUGAGUGUGUGAGAAGUUGUCUUCUCCUCUUCCUAGUCUCAUCUUAAGUGCCUUGGUUCUCUCAAGUGGCGGCAUUGCACACUUAUCUUGGAGCUCUCACAUUUCAAGUGGCGUGUCCAUCAACCAAGCUCUUCAUUCACAUAAGUUCCUCUCUUCUCCAUCUUUUCAUUUCAUCUCCUUGUUCAUACGAAGCUUAAACAUGUCUUAGGUUCCUAUUCUUGCAAUUUCAUUCGGUGCUUUAGCUGAAUUCUAGUUAUGGUUCGAUUCUUCUUCUCUUUGGCUGGUUUCAUUUGGUUCUUCUUCAUUUCCUCUUAAUUUUUUCGGUGCAUUUCAGUUUCUAAGCUUUUUAAUCGGUGCUUUUGUAUUCUUACCUCUUUUAAUCGGUUCAAUUGGCAAGAAAUGGGUCUUCUAUGUGAGUUUGGUGUUUGGUGCAAGUUUUGGUGAGUUCUUGAAACAUAGAACAUUGAUCCAUUUCUAUUAAAAGUGCCUAUUCAUUCUCCAACUCAAGUGGAUUCCAUAAAAUGUCAAAGAAUCAUCUAUAUCUUGCUAGUGGAAUCAUAUCACAUACUCACCAUCUAAUUGCAUGAUUAACAAGUAAUUAACAAGAGUUAAAUUGCAAAGAAAUUAAAUGGCACUCCCUUUGUUGAUUUUCUAAUUGCACUCCCUUUGUUGUUUCUUCUUUGUUGGGUCUUCCCAAGGUGUGUGGUAUAUUUAGUAUGUGUUUGUUGCUGCCCCUUGCCUUUGAUCCUCUUGGGAUUAGGUAAUUAAAUUCUUCAAUCUAGCACCUAUUAAGCAAAACUAGACUCACCUCAAGUCAAUUCCCACUCAACAAGUACCAAUUGAUAUUUAAUCCACCACCAAGCUUAGAGGUCAAAGAAAUAAAGCAAGAAACAAAUUAAUUUGAAAAACAGUACCACACAAAUGGAAUUAAAUGUGACACAACUUAGAAAGAGUUCAAAUGAAAUUAGACAAGCAAAUAAAAAGGUACUCAAAGAAAGGAUGGCACACAAAAAGGAACCUAUGGAAUAGCACUAGAUUUGAUUUAAAAACCAAAAAGAGCACCACUGAAACAAAUUGUUGUGGUCCAGAAAGCGUGAUUUUCACAGAUUUAUGCUGAGCUGGCCUUUUAAUAUUUGCUUCUGAAAAUUUAUAUUCAAACGCAUGCACCAUUUAAUUUUAAUAAUUUUUCUAAAAUCAGUGCUCAGAACCGCCAGUUGUAGCAUCAGGAUUGCACACUGCUUUUGUAAUAUUUAUCUUUUUUUUCUAUUUCUUUUUUUCAACUGAUUCUUUUUUUUUCCUCUUUCUAACACCUCAAUCUAGCAAAAUCCAGAGUCUCAGAAUUUUCUUAUGUGGCAUUUAAUUUCCAUAAGCAAAAUCAGCCAAAAUAGAAUGGUGGAAAACAGAGGAUUCUGCAAAUCUGGAAACAAAAAACAGAAUGAUAUACCAAUGAAAACACAAUGGAAAUGGUGUAAUAGAAUUUGUGUGGAUCUAACACACAAAUAUGAACUCAAACUAAAAAUAAAAAGCACCAAAGGAUCAAAACACAACAGAUUUUAGAUCAAGCAUUCAAACCAAAAACAAGAAACAAAAUAAACCAAGAAAAGUACUACUAGGAUUUGAUGACAAAUAUGGAAACACAAGACUUGACAAAACUUAUAGAUUCAGAAAAUAAAAUGACUCAAACAUAUUAAUAUGAACCGAAUAAAAUUUCAAUCAAGACUCAAGAAACCUAAAAAAAUCAAAAACAGCAACACAAUGUAUCAAGAAUCCUACACAAAAUUGAAAUAAGAUGCUCAAGCAGAAUUUGAACAAAAUCUACCGAUUGAAAUGAAUAGAUAAACAUUCAAAUCAUAUUAAAAACAUAAAAACAGCAAGACAACUUGGAAUCAAGAUGAACAACUAGGAAAUAAGAAGAACUCAAAAAGAAAACACAAAGAGAUGCUCAUCUUUGAAGACCAUAGCUCAUGAUACCAAAUGAUGGCAUUCCUAUGAGCUCUUCUUUGAUUCUGAUGAUGAUGGGUGCGGAAGCUUAGUGGAGGAGACUGGAACAAGGCCUUCCUAGGAAGUGUGGGUGCCUUGAAGGUGCAUGAGGAGUAGUGAGGGUUGGAGUGGUUCGGCCAUCUCCAUUUGAGGGUGAAGAUUGAAGACUAAAAACCUAAUUCUAGAGAGAAUUUGGCAAGGGAGCAAUUUGAAUGGCACUUGGGCAGCAUUUUAUUACUCAAAAUAGUCUUCCAAAUACAUGAGCCAAGCCCUCUUAUUUAUAGUGUUUAGAGGGCUGGAAAUUAAAAAGAAAGGGAAAUUCAAAUGAAAAGCAUUUGAAUUUGGAGCCAAUUCCUAGUCACAUGGAAAGUGUGACUUGGUUUCAUUUUUUUGGCACCUCCUAAAUCUACACCUACACCUUCUUUUUAUGUCACAUGGAAGGUGUGGCUUAGCUUUAUACAUUUGCACCUCUUAUAUUUAUAUCUACACCUCCCUUUAUGUUCUACUAAAAAUACUCAAAAGUAAUUACAAAAGAAACACAUCCAAUGAUGCUUAGUUGGCCAAUAUCUUCUAUUUGUUGGGCUUGAGAUGAAGCUUGAACUUGUAUUUGGGCUUGGGCUUGGGCUUUUUCUAUCAUGGGCUUGGGCCUCUUCCAUCAUCCCCUUCCUCUUGAAAAGGAUUUGUCCUCAAAUCCAAUGCUUCUUCUUCAUCAUCAUUAUGUGGAUGUAUGUGGCUGGAU